UGCUCUAGCACUCAAUGUAAGAACGGAGGUAUUUGCCAUAAUAACUGGGACAGUUUUACCUGUACUUGUCAGUCCAGGUACAACGGAUCACGGUGUGAAUCAGAUUACGGCAAGUGUGACAGCAAGCCAUGUUUAAAUAAUGGAACUUGCAUCAAUAUAAGAAAUGGGUUUCAUUGCGCAUGUACCACGUGGUUUACAGGAAGGCAGUGUGAAAUUGAGAUAUGCAAAGAGGCACCCAAAGUGGUAAACUGUCCAGAUGGUAUCCAAGAAGUUAAUUUUACCAAAGUAAAGGAAAAUAUUACCCGAACAUCCUUUGUAUUUUUACCUGAAAUAUAUGGACAAAGCUGUGAUGGACGAAACAUAACAAUUCUAUUUCCGAUAAAAGAGUACGUUUGGAGUGCAGAGAUUGGAGAGCUUGUACUGACAGUGAACGAUACAAGGGGACAGUCUCUUCCAUGUAUUGUACAAUUCAGGACGA